rnacentral:rRNA from 1 species
UGGGGAUGACGUCAAGUCCUCAUGGCCUUUAUGCCUAGGGCUACACACGUGCUACAAUGGGCGGUACAAAGGGUAGCGAUGCCGCGAGGCGAAGCCAAUCCCAAAAAGCCGUCCUCAGUUCGGAUUGGAGUCUGCAACUCGACUCCAUGAAGCCGGAAUCGCUAGUAAUCGCGGAUCAGCAUGCCCGCGGUCCGAAUACGUUCCGGGCCUU